GUUGGUGAACCAGCGGAGGGAUCAUUAGCGAGUCCCGCACUCCAAACCCACUGUGAACACAACCUCUCGUUGCUUCGGCGGGCGGCCCCUGGGAGGGAGCCGUAGCCCGCGAGGGCGCCCGCCGGAGGACCAAAACACUCUGUUUUUAUAGCGGUAGCCUCUGAGUAAAGACCAAAAUAGUCAAAACUUUCAACAACGGAUCUCUUGGUUCUGGCAUCGAUGAAGAACGCAGCAUCUGACUGACUCUCGG
rnacentral:misc_RNA from 1 species